GGGUGCAUAGCUCAGCUGGAUAGAGCAACGGCCUUCUAAGCCGUAGGUCGUAGGUUCGAAUCCUACUGCACUCGCCA
rnacentral:tRNA from 1 species